AGCUCUUCGAAUCCGUGCUGAGAUUUCGUCAGACACCAACCCACUAAGGCUAAUCAAACUUACACUGUAGAUUAGUAGGGCA
rfam:Schistosoma margrebowiei strain Zambia genome assembly, scaffold: SMRZ_scaffold0002887